rnacentral:rRNA from 1 species
UGGGGAAUAUUGCACAAUGGAGGAAACUCUGAUGCAGCAACGCCGCGUGGAGGAUGACGCAUUUCGGUGUGUAAACUCCUUUUAUAUGGGAAGAUAAUGACGGUACCAUAUGAAUAAGCACCGGCUAACUCCGUGCCAGCAGCCGCGGUAAUACGGAGGGUGCAAGCGUUACUCGGAAUCACUGGGCGUAAAGCGCAUGCAGGCGGUUUAAUAAGUUGGAAGUGAAAGCCUAUGGCUCAACCAUAGAACUGCUUCCAAAACUGUUAGACUAGAGUCUGGGAGGGGAAGAUGGAAUUAGUAGUGUAGGGGUAAAAUCCGUAGAGAUUACUAGGAAUACCAAAAGCGAAGGCGAUCUUCUGGAACAGUACUGACGCUGAGAUGCGAAAGCGUGGGGAGCAAACA